rnacentral:rRNA from 1 species
UACAGAGGGUGCGAGCGUUGUCCGGAAUCACUGGGCGUAAAGGGCGCGUAGGUGGCGCUGCAAGUCGGUGGUGAAAGCUCGACGCUCAACGUCGAGUCGGCCAUCGAAACUGCAAGGCUCGAGUCCGGGAGAGGGGGUGGAAUUCCCAGUGUAGCGGUGAAAUGCGUAGAUAUUGGGAGGAACACCGGUGGCGAAGGCGGCCCCCUGGACCGGUACUGACGCCUGAGGCGCGAAAGCGUGGGUAGCAAACGGG